UACGUAGGGGGCAAGCGUUGUCCGGAUUUAUUGGGCGUAAAGCGCUCGCAGGUGGUUCAUUGCGUCGUGCGUGAAAGACCCCGGCUCAACUGGGGAGGGUCGUGCGAAACGGGUGAACUAGAGGCCAGUAGGGGGAUGUGGAAUUCCGGGUGUAGUGGUGGAAUGCGUAGAGAUCCGGAGGAACACCAGCGGCGAAGGCGGCCACCUGGACCAGGCCUGACGCUGAGGCGCGAAGGCCGGGGGAGCGAACGGG
rnacentral:rRNA from 1 species